AUUGAACGCUGGCGGCAGGCCUAACACAUGCAAGUCGAACGGUAACAGGAAGAAGCUUGCUUCUUUGCUGACGAGUGGCGGACGGGUGAGUAAUGUCUGGGAAACUGCCUGAUGGAGGGGGCUAACUACUGGAAACGGUAGCUAAUACCGCAUAACGUCGCAAGACCAAAGAGGGGGACCUUCGGGCCUCUUGCCAUCGGAUGUGCCCAGAUGGGAUUAGCUAGUAGGUGGGGUAACGGCUCACCUAGGCGACGAUCCCUAGCUGGUCUGAGAGGAUGACCAGCCACACUGGAACUGAGACACGGUCCAGACUCCUACGGGAGGCAGCAGUGGGGAAUAUUGCACAAUGGGCGCAAGCCUGAUGCAGCCAUGCCGCGUGUAUGAAGAAGGCCUUCGGGUUGUAAAGUACUUUCAGCGGGGAGGAAGGGAGUAAAGUUAAUACCUUUGCUCAUUGACGUUACCCGCAGAAGAAGCACCGGCUAACUCCGUG
rnacentral:rRNA from 1 species